rnacentral:snoRNA from 1 species
AUCCUUUUGUAGUUCAUGAACAUGAUGAUUGGAUGUUCAUGCACAUGUGUGAGAUGUGCCACCCUCUGAAUCUUGUUAUGACAUCAGCCAUCAGCACAUUAUCCAUCUGACC